UCUUACUCUGAUAUCGCAACAACAGAAAUAGUACGGAGUGGUUCUACUCAAUCUAACAUGAUAACAACUCGAAUUCAAUUUCUAUUCUAAAUGAUUGGAAUCAUUAGGUCGCAGCAAUCUUCUAGCGGCAGCAAGGGUUCAAUAUCCUUUUUCUUUUCUUUUCUUUUCUUCUCUUUUCUUUUCUCUUCCUAUCCCUUCAAAUCUACCCUAUCCAAACGUACCCUAAAAUCUCAGGGAAGUUAGUCUAAUUUGCCCUCAUUCGUUUGCGCGUCAUUUCUCUCUAGCGACUCACUGAUCACCUGCUCAACCGUCGAAAACAGCACUCACUGCCGAUCUCUUUCAACCUCGAACGUUGCUGCAAUCUUCAAAUUCACAAAAAAGCCGAUUUGUUGACUGGACCCAAAGAAUCUAUUGUCAUGUUUUGUCUGAGGAAAAUGGCUCAACCAUUGAUGACUAUAAAGAUUCUGGUACAGCAUAUGGAACCAAAGCAGAUCCGGGAUGUCAUUGGCCACUAUGCAGAGAAAGGGACUCUCAUCGAGUUUGCUGCUUUGCUUACAUCGUUGGCUCGGGCUCGGCUUCGCGCUUUCGAUCCCUUCACUUGUGAUUUUGAAGUUGAAAGUUCCGGUAGAAUGGAGACACUGAGCAGCCGCACUGCAACUAAGAUCAUGUCACUAAUUGAUGAGGAGCAAAAAGCAAUGAUCCGCAAAAAAAUUAAAAUUGGCUGAUAUUUGCAAGGAAAAGCAGAGGUUGAUGAUAUAUAGGAUAAUGUUGCUUGAAAUCUAUGAGAGGAUUGGUGAUGUUAUAGGAGACUGUUUGAACACUAGUAACCCCACUGUAUGUUGCAAUACUUCUGUUUGCGUAGUUUUUGGUCUUACGCCGGUCGAUGGUCUGUUGCGGGCAUGCCAGAGUAUUUGUAUAAAAACACUCAAAAUAUGUUGAUUCGAACACCAGCCUAUUCUUUUUUCCGA